AAUGAUUUCACAUUAUUUAUAUAUACUCACAGCAACUCUGAAUAUCUAACUUUUAAAUAUUUAUAGGAGGCAAAGAGGAUAUUAUAAACACAGAUGAUGCUACAGUUGGGACUCCAGAUAACAGUCAAGCAGGUGGUGAAGAGAAGGUGCCUCCAGGUCCAGGAUCACCCACCAUCUACAGUAUGGUGGGACUACCCCAACCCCAGCCUGUGAACCACCCCACCUUGGUGGGAGACCAGCCUAUGCCUGUGGACCUCCCCAUGACCUCCAUGCCUGAGAGUGUAUAUGCUAUGGUGGGGAAAAAGACUAGCAAACAAUAAUCAGGAAUUUGAACAUCAUCUUAGGCCAGGAUUCUAUUCAAACCUUUUAAAGGCAAUGUUCCCAUGUUCGAGUAGACCUAAUCAAAUAAAAUAAGAUCGGUCACAUGCUUUGAAAACAACAAAGGUGUAGACUAACAGUGAAAUGCUUACAUACAGGGCCUUUCCAACAAUACAGAGAGAAACAAAAUAGAGAAAUAACAGAAAAGUAAAAAAAAAAAUGAAUGAAUAAAUAAAUAAAUAAAUAACAAAAACACCAUGUGUAAAGAUAACUAUAUUCACGGGGCACCAGUACCCAGUCGAUGUGCAGGUGUACAAGGUAAUUGAGGUAGACAUGUACAUAUAAGUAGGGACAAAGUGACAGACAAUAAACAGUAGCAGCAGCGUGUGUGAUGAGUAAAAAAAAAAGUGCAAAAAAGGGUCAAUGUAAAUAGUCAUGGUAGUUAUUUGGUGACUGUUUAACUAACUAUUUAGCAGUCUUAUGGCUUAGGGUAGAAGCUGUUCAUGGUCCUGUUGGUUCCAGACUUGGUGCAUUGGUACCGCUUGCCGUGCGGUAGCAGAGAGAACAGUCUAUGACUUUGGUAGCUGGAGUCUUUGACAAUUUUUAGGGCCUUCCUGAUACUGCCUUGUAUAGAGGUCCUGGAUGGCAAGGAGCUCGGCUUCAGUGAUGUACUGGGCUGUACACACUAACCUCUGUAGCGCCUUGCUCUCAAUUGGGCAGCUGUUUGACUUUUUGAGGCUCUGAGGGCUCAUGCCAAUCUUUUCAGCCUCCUGAGGGGGAAGAGGCGUUGUCGUGCCCUCUUCACGACUGUGCUGGUGUAUUUGGACCAUGAUAGAUAUUUUGUGAUGUGGACAACGAGGAACUUGAAGCUCUCGACCCGCUGCACUACAGCCCUGAUGUGAAUGGGGGCGUGCUCAGCACUCUGUUUCCUGUAGUCCACGAUCAGCUCUGUCUUGCUCACGUUGAGGGAGAGGUUGUUGUCCUGGCAUCACACUGCCAGGUGUCUGAUAAAACAAACUGGGUGGAAUAUGGAGAAAAGUGUACUAAUUUCUCCACAGUACAAUUUUCUUUGCUGAAAUCCAUUACUAAAGACGGAGUCAUCCAUGAUUCUCCAAAUCAUAUUUGAAAGAGGAAGCUAAAUAUUUUAAGCAGACGUUUUCUUUUCAAUCUCAUCAUCACCCUCUGAAUG
rnacentral:lncRNA from 1 species